CAAGCGGGGAAGGAUGAGAAGCUUCGACUAAGGUUCGACUCGAGCGCCAGCGAGAGAGCGUUGCCGCAGGCAACGACCCGAAGGGCGAAGCGCGCAGCGCUGAGUAAUCCUUCCCCCACCACCA
rnacentral:sRNA from 1 species